AUAACAAGUUGGCGAUGACAAAGGCCCAUGUGGCCGAGUUUGAAAGAACUAUUCACUUAACUGACC
rnacentral:ncRNA from 1 species